CGAACGAAGUAGCAAUACCUAGCGGCAGACGGGUGCGUAACAUGUGGGAAUCUGCCUUUUGGUUCGGAACAACACGGGGAAACUUGUGCUAAAACCGGAUAAGCCCUUACGGGGAAAGUUUUAAUGCCGAAAGAUGAGCCCGCAUUUGAUUAGCUAGUUGGUAAGGUAAAAGCUUACCAAGGCGACAAUCAAUAGCUGAUUUGAGAGGAUGAUCAACCACACUGGGACUGAGACACGGCCCAGACUCC
rnacentral:rRNA from 1 species